UACGAAGGGAGCUAGCGUUGUUCGGAAUCACUGGGCGUAAAGCGCACGUAGGCGGAUUCUUAAGUCGGUGGUGAAAUCCUGGAGCUCAACUCCAGAACUGCCUUUGAUACUGGCGAUCUCGAGUCCGGGAGAGGUGAGUGGAACUGCGAGUGUAGAGGUGAAAUUCGUAGAUAUUCGCAAGAACACCAGUGGCGAAGGCGGCUCACUGGCCCGGUACUGACGCUGAGGUGCGAAAGCGUGGGGAGCAAACAGGG
rnacentral:rRNA from 1 species